rnacentral:tRNA from 1 species
GCCGGGGUGCUGGAAUUGGUAUACAGACGUGCUUGAGGUGCACGUGCCCGAAAGGGCGUGGAGGUUCGAGUCCUCUUCCCGGCA